rnacentral:rRNA from 1 species
CCUACGGGUGGCAGCAGUGGGGAAUAUUGGACAAUGGGGGGAACCCUGAUCCAGCCAUGCCGCGUGUGUGAAGAAGGCCCUCGGGUUGUAAAGCACUUUCAGUGAGGAAGAACGCCUGGUGGUUAAUACCCAUCAGGAAAGACAUCACUCACAGAAGAAGCACCGGCUAACUCCGUGCCAGCAGCCGCGGUAAUACGGAGGGUGCGAGCGUUAAUCGGAAUUACUGGGCGUAAAGCGCGCGUAGGUGGCUUGAUAAGCCGGUUGUGAAAGCCCCGGGCUCAACCUGGGAACGGCAUCCGGAACUGUCAAGCUAGAGUGCAGGAGGGGAAGGUAGAAUUCCCGGUGUAGCGGUGAAAUGCGUAGAGAUCGGGAGGAAUACCAGUGGCGAAGGCGGCCUUCUGGACUGACACUGACACUGAGGUGCGAAAGCGUGGGUAGCAAACAGGAUUAGAUACCCUAGUAGUC